UUCACGGCUGUGUCAUUGGUAAGAGGCAUCACUGUUUGGACAGAGCCUUUACCGAAGGUUUUUGUUCCCAUAAUGACGGCACGGUCAUGAUCCUGUAAGGCACCAGCCACAAUCUCAGAAGCGGAAGCAGAGCCGCCGUUGACUAAGACAACGAGUGGCGCGCUUUUCAACAUAUCGUCUGGUGUCGCAUGGAAUUUCUGAUCUGAGUCUGCAAUACGACCUUCGGUAUAAACAAUAAGGCCUUUUUCUAUGAAAGCAUCAGAAACUUCAACGGCGGCAUCUAAUACGCCACCUGGAUUGUUACGUAA
rnacentral:ncRNA from 1 species